ensembl:misc_RNA 7SK 7SK RNA
ACAUGUGAGGGCCAUCUGGCUGGGAUAUCUGUCACCCCACUGAUUGCCAGGGUUGAUUUGGCUUAACUGGCUGGCUAGGUGGGUGUCCCCUUCCUCCCUAGCUGCUCCAUGUGUGUCCCUCCCAAAGCUAUGCGCUUGAUCAAAGAGGAUGACCUUCCCUGAAGAGAGGAUUGGUCUUCCGUCAAGGGUAUACAAGUAGCUGUGCUCCCCUGCUAGAACCUCCAAACAAGCUCUCAAGACGUAAGGUCCAUAAAGACACUGCAAGUAAAGGAAGUUACAGCUCUGACUAAGGAUUGCUGCCAGCAUCU